rnacentral:rRNA from 1 species
AACGCUAGCUACAGGCUUAACACAUGCAAGUCGAGGGGAAACGACAUUGAAAGCUUGCUUUUGAUGGGCGUCGACCGGCGCACGGGUGAGUAACGCGUAUCCAACCUGCCCACCACUUGGGGAUAACCUUGCGAAAGUAAGACUAAUACCCAAUGAUAUCUCUAGAAGACAUCUGAAAGAGAUUAAAGAUUUAUCGGUGAUGGACGGGGAUGCGUCUGAUUAGCUUGUUGGCGGGGUAACGGCCCACCAAGGCAACGAUCAGUAGGGGUUCUGAGAGGAAGGUCCCCCACAUUGGAACUGAGACACGGUCCAAACUCCUACGGGAGGCAGCAGUGAGGAAUAUUGGUCAAUGGACGAGAGUCUGAACCAGCCAAGUAGCGUGCAGGAAGACGGCCCUAUGGGUUGUAAACUGCUUUUAUAAGGGAAUAAAGUGAGUCUCGUGAGACUUUUUGCAUGUACCUUAUGAAUAAGGACCGGCUAAUUCCGUGCCAGCAGCCGCGGUAAUACGGAAGGUCCGGGCGUUAUCCGGAUUUAUUGGGUUUAAAGGGAGCGUAGGCCGGAGAUUAAGCGUGUUGUGAAAUGUAGACGCUCAACGUCUGCACUGCAGCGCGAACUGGUUUCCUUGAGUACGCACAAAGUGGGCGGAAUUCGUGGUGUAGCGGUGAAAUGCUUAGAUAUCACGAAGAACUCCGAUUG